CAGGGGAGCAGUGGGUUUCAAAGCAAGAAGUGAGUCUGCUCAGCUUUGAAUUUUUGCUCUUCCACUGCAUAAUUGUGCACACUGAGCAAGUCACUCAAACUCUCUGAACCCUAAUUCCUCCUCUGUAAAAUGGGGUUCUGGAUGAAGGAGUCUGGAAGCAGGCAAGAAGGACUGAAGGAAGCCGCCCAAAAGCAGAGCCAGUGUCAAGGACAUGAAAUGAACUUCAGAGGCCUGGGUUACUCACUGAUUUAUUUAGCUUUGGUGGCUAGGGAAGGAUGCAUGAAAACAUUUCUGUAAACAAGAAUCAUCUUCAAUAGCAGCAUUUUCAGUGCAAGCUAAGGAUAGAACUGAUUGGUGGAAAAUUUCAUUGAACUUUAGAUAAAAAUGAAAGUAAGCAAGAUUAUUUCUAUUCAUUUUUAUUAUGAGAGAGUGAAUAUCAUUGGCCAAUUAAAAUAUUGAAUGCUUUUUUUUUUAGUUUGGGGCCAGAAUGACACAUAAUAAUAUAACAAAUUCAAAGAAAUUUAUGCCCAAAGAAUUCUUUAGUUGUCUUACUAUUUUGCUUCCUCUCUUUCAGAGGGCUAGGCUCAGUAAGGACAGAGCCAUGUUUUGUAAUGGUUCUCUUUCAUGAUUUUUCUCAUUUGGUAACCAUUUGUGUAGAUCUGAAAAUUCUGUAAACUAGUCUGUCUUUUUGAUUAUACAUGCAAAACCA